rnacentral:lncRNA from 1 species
UUCUUCAUCCUUUGAUUGCCAGCUGGAAUUUUCCUAAAGUUUCGGCCUCAUAAAUUAUAAUUUCGGUGAACAAGAUAUACAAAUCUUAUGGUGAAUGGAACCAAACUCAAAAAGUUUUACAAAAAAAAAAAUAAUAUUAUUAAAAAAUUACCUCAACUAAUUCAAAUAGUCCCAUAUUCAAAAUUUAUAAUGAAAAAAAAAAUCAAUUGAUUUUCUUGUCAACCAAACAAGGCGCAAAAACCCAUAAAAACAAUAACAAUCAAACAAACCUAACAUAACACCCAAAUCACACGAAACAUGUAUACUACUCAGAGUUAGAGUUAGGGUUAGGGUUAGGGUUUCAUUUUUAUGUUUUAGAAAGUUGGUGGAAGUUUUGAGGAAAUUUGGGAGAAAAAAAUCAAGCUUUUUGAAAAAAAAAAACAAAGCACUUUUAUAACAUGGAAUUUUCAAUAGAAAGGGAAUAGAGAGAGAAAGAGUGAGGAGAGAAGAAGAGAAGGAAAAUGAAGGUUUAGAAAGAUAUUGCAUCAUCACAAUUUUCUUAUCAUUUUCACUCCCUAUGAUUUGGUUGCAAUUUGGGGAGGAAGAAAAAAAAAGAGGAGAACGAAGGUAGAUGAGGACUUGGAUAGGGUUUUGAAAUGAAAUGAUACUUUUACUCUCACUUAAAUAGGUCACGUGAAUAACACUAACACAUGCAUCUUCGGUCCAAUUAAGGUAAUACUGUCACUUAAAAAAUGCAUAUUACAUGUAAUUAUAAAAUAUGAAAGGUACAUUGUUCGAUUGUAAAUUCAAUGAGAUAAUAUAUAAAAUAUGCUAUAAGUUAGAGGGAUAAAGUAUAAUAAACCCUAUAUACAUAAACAACAGAGUUUUAUUUAUAUUUGCUAAAUUAAUUGAAUUCUAAGUCAAUAUAAAAUUUUCCGAGUAAUUCAAGAUUUUAAAGAUUCAAUAUUGUUUUAUAAACUUGGAAGGAAGGGUUCCAAGAAUUUUCCACUCUUUUAAAUGGUCAAAAAAACAUGUAGGUACGCAAUUAAAUCAUCUUUCUUCCAUGCUAAAAAAAUAAUAAAUAUAUAUUGUAAGUUUUAAAUUAAAGUAUUAUUUAAGAAUUCGGUAAUAAACUCAAUCAUAUGGUUAUACCAAAAUCAAAAUAUUAAAAAUAUUUUAGGUAAAAAAAAAGGGAAAAUAUAUUUAAUAAUCAAAUAAUAGAAAAUAAUUUUUUAUUUUUAAAAUAGAAAAUAUAAUAUUUUUUAAAAAUAUAUUUUUUUAUUAUUUUUACUCGUUUUUAAAAAAUAAUUAUAUAAAUAUGAGGAAAGAUUAAAAAUAAAAUAUUAUAUGUAAAAAUUAUUUUUAAAACAAAUUUUAAAAUAUAAAAAAUAAGUUAAAAAUAGGAUUAUCGUGGGCCAUUAACAAACCUAGACUAAGUAGGCCAUGGGUGUCUUGACGAUUUUUGCUGCAUUUUUGGUGUUUGAUUUCUUUAUUCAAUAUGAUCACCCAAACACAGAUAUAUAUAUAUAUAUAUAUAUAUAUAUAUAUAUCAAUUCAUUUAAAACAUACCUUCUUCUAUUUUGGAACAUAUCUGAGUCCAUUAUUUCUCGAGAUGGAUAAGGUAUGGAUCUUUUAAGGCUAUAGAGGGCACCACAUUUCUCUGUAUUUCUAAUUCAAAAGAUGUGAUCUCAAGAACCAAUACUUAGUCUUAUAUUUAUACCCUCUAUGCCUUAAAAGACCAUACCCUUUGGACUAUUGGGCAUCGCGAGUCUUAGGCCCAUCAUCUAAGACCCGUUAUAUAUCUGGGCUUUAUACAUGAGGUGACGCAUACUCUAGAUCAAAUAGAAAUCAUAUAUAUAUAUAUAUGGAUAGCUAAAUCCUGAACGAUGCCCUUUUAGAGGAUCGAGCUCUGCUUUUUUAUAAUUAAAAUUGAUUUGUAGCGGUGAGAAAAGUUAAGGCUGUGUUUGUUUUCUAAUGUAAAAAUGCAUUUUGAAGUAUGGGAAAUUUGAGGGUCAUAAACCAUAUUGGUUUAAGAUUGCAAUGCUCGUCGGCAACUGAACCCAUACGUACAUACAAUCACCCCGACCCCGACUCCGACCACUUCAUAUUGAAACUGGCCUCGAGGCUCGAGCCUCCCUUCCUAACAGUGAAACCUACCAGCAAGUCAACAAAAUGUGAAUGCAGUAGAGGCAAGGAGAGCAAAAUCUGCUCAAUCAUAAAGGGUGUUUGUUGAGAGAGAUGAUGGGCAUAGGCCUCUAGCUGUUCCUUUAGCUUAUUAUAUAUAGUCGGGUGGUUGGAAAUCUUAGUGGCUAUGAAAUCUGAGGACAGACUAUUCAUGUCAGUGACUUAGAAAUAAUUAUCUCCAAAUUUGGCAGUUUAUGCAUGAAGCAUACUAUAUAUUUAAUAUCUAAAACCCAGCUUUGAGAAACUUCAUGUGCCACGAAAUUUCUCAUUUACUACAUGACAGUGAUGACACAACCCACAAUGGGGAGGGAAACUUCUGACUUCUGAGAAUAAUCAGACUUUCUCAAGGACAGUUUGUCUCCACUUCACCCCCACCUUCCAUGGAAAUUUCCUCCUAUGCUUACCAUCUUCACCCAACUUGUGGUAACGAAAAAAUAAAAUAAAAAAAUUAGAAAGGAAAUUUUUUUAUCAUAUUUAGUUUUUCCACUAGAAAUAUAAAAAAUAAAUUAAUUAAAAUUUUAUAUAUUUUAAAUUAUUUAAUUAGUUAAAAUAAGUGAAAUGCGCUUCAAAUUUGAUAUAAAUUAGAUUUAUUUAUUUAUUUUAUUUGCCAUUAAAUUAAAUCUAAAUCAAUUUUUAAUCAAUGAAUCUAUGUUGAUCAUGUUAAACUUAAAAGUAAUUGUAUCCAGCUACUUUUCGAACGUUACAAUUUAUUUUUUAAUACGUAACCAUGUGAAAUUUUUAUUUUUUAUCUGGAUAGGCUUUUGGACCCCUUUCAAAUGGAUGGGCCACAAUUGAAAAUGGGCCGGAUCGGAAAGAUGUGGUCGCCCAAAGGAAUCGAGGUCCAUAACGGUUGCUUCCUGACAAAGCGAAGGCGCAUGUUCUCAACCACGAUUCGUGUCGCCGAAUCAACGAACAAUUAUGGGCUAAUAGAUCAUAAAGGAAACAAAUGCUAAGGUGACAAGAAUGUCCUCGACUUGGCGCCAUUCUUGUUUCAACCAAAUCUAGCGAGGAGGACAUAUCUGUAUUUUCAGUUUAUAAGUUAUCUUCUCCUCCGUUUGGUUAUGAUAUUUUUGUAGUCACCCCAUAAUCUUUUGAAAUUGCAACUAGGCCCUUUCAUGGCGACUCUCACCGCCGUGUCUUCUGCUUCAUGGCCAAACCCUAACCCUAGUCCUAAUUCGACCUUUCUCUCUCAGCAGAGCCACCCCGAGCAGUAUCCGGCGGUUCAGGAUCCCACUGCAAUGCGUCAGCAUCAGGGAACCGGCCUCUCCGGAGAUGGAGGCGAGGAUGAAUCAUUUUCUUCUUCUCCAAAUCAUCACACUGUUCAAAGCCCUAAUUCUAAUCUUCGUGAAGUUGUAUCUUAUUCGACAUCCUCUAUACCGUCUCUUCUCCAUAUUUCCUUCAAUCAGGACCACGGUUGCUUCGCCGCGGGCACGGAUAACGGCUUCCGGAUCUAUAAUUGCGACCCGUUCCGCGAGAUUUUCCGGCGAGACUUCGACCGCGGCGGAGGAAUUGGCGUCGUGGAGAUGCUAUUCCGGUGCAACAUCCUGGCCCUGGUUGGCGGCGGACCUGAGCCGCAGUAUCCGCUCAACAAAGUCAUGAUUUGGGAUGAUCACCAAAGCCGGUGCAUUGGAGAGCUGUCAUUCCGAUCGGAGGUCCGAGCAGUUAAGCUCCGGCGGGACCGUAUCAUAGUGGUCUUGGAACAGAAGAUUUUCUUGUACAACUUCGCGGACUUGAAGCUGUUACAUCAGAUUGAGACGAUUGCAAAUCCCAGGGGGCUUUGCGCGGUUUCGCAGCUCACUGCGUCGCUUGUGUUGGUGUGUCCAGGGUUGCAGAAGGGGCAGGUCAGGGUCGAGCAUUACGCUUCGAGGAGGACCAAGUUCUUCGCGGCCCAUGAUUCUAGACUUGCGUGUUUCGCGCUCACUACGGACGGCCAAUUGCUCGCCACUGCAAGCACCAAAGGAACUCUGGUUAGAAUUUUCAAUACUUCCGAUGGCACACGGCUGCAAGAGGUACAUUAUAUGCCCUUUUUCAGUUCUGCGCUUUGAGGAGUGAACUUGAAAUUUUGAUGAUUCUGUAAAUGGGCCAUAGGCUAUUGAUAUUUUGAUGUUUCUCUAUUAGGGUUAUUAUAAAAGUAGUAUUCCCAAUUUCCCGAUUUUAGGUUUCUUGUUGAAAUAGAUUGUGAAGUAUAAUUCAUUUAGCCAUGUCCCUUCUUUUUCCUCUACUUCUUGUGGAGACCACAGCAGGCACAGUUGACGUACAACCUCAAUUUGGAUAGCUGUUGUUGUUAGCAAACAGUUCAAAGUGUGACUGGUUUUUGUAGUUAUCAUGCUAGGAUCACCUUCAAUCUCAAUUGAGAACAACGGAAAAUGUCUUCACACAAUAAUAACCUGCCGUGUAAGUAUCGAUUGAAGGUUAAUCCUUUCUGGGAUUCAUAGCCAUAAAUGAAGCUUGAAUAGUACUCUGCGUUGCAAGAAACAAGUAUAAAUGAACUUCCUUUGUCUACUUGUGGAUUAAUCUAAUGAACCAAUUUUUCUGAACUGCAGAGGAGCUCUUGUUUAUGUUAGAAACUCAUAUUACUUGCUAUUCGAUACUUAUUCUACCAUUCAUCUUUCUGCAAGAAUUUGACAUGUAUCAUAGAUUUAAAUUAAUUGAAUAUCUAAUGUAGGUGCGGCGGGGAGCAGAUAGAGCUGAGGUUUACAGUAUGGCAUUCUCUUCAACUGCCCAGUGGCUAGCAGUAUCAAGUGACAAGGGCACUGUCCAUGUUUUUGGGCUUAAGGUUAACUCAGGAUCCUUAGGAAAUGACAAGUCCCAUGGUGCAUCUGAUGCCAAUCUUGCUGUUGCAUCAUCCGGCUUAUCUCUUUCUUUCAUCAAGGGUAAGGUGCCUUUUCUAGAAUAUGACUUGAGGCUGACCAUUUUUCUUGAUUUUGAAUAAACAGGUCAAUUGAGUUAUAAAUAUGUGAGGUUGGGAGGCUAAUUAUACCGACUCAAGCAAAAUGCCAAACUCUAUUAAAUGGGUUGCACAAGGCUGUAUGAUAAUUAGGUUGUGUUUAAUUUCAUUGUUUUAACCUAAUUAUCAUUCAUGUCAUGUUUUUCUUAUGUCGAAUAACUAGUUUUGACACAACAUGAACAUGAUCUAGUAACACGAAUUGACACCCCUGGCUAUUAUGUGAAUAUGCAUACGCAAAGUUAAAAUAGGCUUCACUGCUUGAUCUCCAUGGUUCCAAGACCACAUAUUGGAUGGAACUUUAAUAAUACAGUUUUGUUUUUGAUAAGCAAAACUGUAUUAUCAUCGGGCCUUGUAUGUGUACUCUUGAAUGCAACUGUAUCCACUUCUCUCCUUUUGAAUGCAACUGCUUUCUCUUGGUUCCUGUUACUGGAUGGUGCUUACUAGAGUAUCAACUAAUGGAAGUGAAGAAUAGGAGAGAUUAGGCCAUGGGGUUCAGGAUUCUAUUUAUUUAUUUAUCAGUUUUUGGAUAAUCAUCAUGGGCAUGUCUAUUGCGUUUCUUAUUGAACAGAAGCUUUGAAGUUCUAUCCUUUUGAUUCUAAUUCUGACUAGGUUUUCAUGUGCAGGAGUGCUGCCCAAGUAUUUCAGCUCUGAGUGGUCGGUUGCUCAGUUCCGCCUUCAUGAGGGUUCUCAGUAUAUUGUUGCAUUUGGUCAUCAGAAGAACACAGUGGUAAUUCUGGGAAUGGAUGGAAGGUAAGAGAUAUUCUUAACAGAAGUUUGUGAGAAGAGUUGAUCUGAAAUGGAAUCAUGAUAAGCAAUUGAAUUGAAUUUGAAUGCAGCUUCUAUAGAUGUCAGUUCGAUCCUGUGACUGGGGGAGAGAUGACACAGCUGGAGUAUCACAACUUCCUUAAACCAGAAGAAGCUUUCUAAUGGAGAUCUAGGAUAUUAUCUGCAUGCCCAAUUUCCUAGCUAUAUAUGACAUCCCUCUCUCUCUGGGUCUUUGUGCCCUUUGUCCCCUUUUCCCCUUCUAGGUGUGGCCUAUGGGUCCAUUAUGGUGUAAAUAUACGAGUAUAGAUAGGUCAAAGUUUAAGACUAAUUUACCAUUAACAAGGAAAAAUGAAAUUUAAUGAAAAAAAAAAAAAAGAAGAGAGAUUAGUACUCAUUUUUCAUACUUGUCUUCAUAUUUGCCAUUGUGUGGACGGGUUUAUUUGGACAACCUUUUUUUAUAAUUUAGAUUACCAACCUUCCUUAUUUAAUAUCAACCAAAAAAAUAUUUUAUACAAUAUUCUUUAUAAAAAACGAGACUUUUCUAUAAUCUUGAGGCAAAUUCCAUUAUACCAUAAAUGGAAUUUGCCUAUUUAUCAUGCCUAUAUCUAUGAAUGAGAAAAAUCAUUUCAUUAUACCAUAAAAUCAAAUGCAAUUAUCAAAACACCUAAUGUUUCUCCACUUCUUAUAUCCACCGUAAACUAUGAGCCUCCUACUCUACUUGGUAUAUCUUUAUCCAAUUUAAAUAGUUUUUAAAUAUUAAUCUUUAUUCCAUAAUUUUUUCCUCCCCUAACCUAAAAUAUUUAUAAUGAUAUUCUUAACAAUUUUUUUAUUAUAUAUAAUAAAAUCUAAUAUUACAAUAAUAUAUUAAAAGUCCUCACUCCAUCACAAUACUUAAUUUUUUUCUAAGCAAUUAAUUCUCUAUUCUUUCGAUUUUUUUGCUUUUAACUACCAUUGGGCAAUUACAUUUUUAAAUAUAAAUUUCAAAGUACACGUUUAUUAGAAUCCUGUUAAGAAAUACAAAACAUGUUGUGGACCCCGCGUUUCGAUCUAUCUCAAUGCGUUUCCCACUCAAUGGCGAGCUCGAUUUUUAUUUUAUUAGAAAAAAUGAUUUUUAUCGAUUAAGAAAAUGACUUGGAGUCGCCACUUAUUUUUGUUUUAUUAUUAAAGGGUAAACAAAAUAAGAAAGAAAAACCCUAAGUGUGACUCCUUAUUUUGGAAAAGGCGGUCUGUGAAAAACCGGAUCGGGUUCGGGGGUCAGGUUACUUCUCGGGAAGGUAUGGUAAAGACCGUAGCACCCCUCUAAGUCCCUAAAGUCGGGUCUCUACUAAUAAAAUGAAGCUGACAUGACAACCAAUGAGAAAGUCAAUGAAUACCUAGGACGAAUCAUGCACAUACGAGAAUUAAAACAUGCAAAUAAAAUGAUUAGGAUGCGAGUGGAUGUGUACCUGGACCGUGAACGAUCAAUGCGCUAUCAUAAAACAGGGUUAGUGAGCAAUGAACAAAAUAUAAUUAAGCGCAUAACAUGGAACAAAAUAAAUCAAACACGCACGAUAAGUAAAUCAAUCAAACAAUCAAUCAAUCGUCAAUUCACAUAUGUGGGGCCCCCACCAAAGCCCGUUUAUUUUUGCAUGAAUUAAUUCCAUAAUUUCCAUUAUUCGGAGUUACAGAAUUGAAUCUAUGCUUAUUUUUAAAACAUUUUAAAAGAUCAUGAAAGAUUUAAAAAAAUUGCUUGCCGAAUAGAAAAUGGAAGCAAAUUUUAUUAAAAAGAGAUUUCAAGUGAUUCUAAAAAAAAACCUAAAGGUGAAAAUUAAAAAUAAAUAAAUAAAUAAAUUAUUUGAUAAAAAUGGAGUUUGGAAAAUUAACAAAGAAACUAGAAAUCGGGAAAUUAUGUGGAAAAUGGGAGUUUUAGGACUUAAAAAUAAAUCUAAAGAUGAAAAUUCGAAAAGCAAAAAUUGUUUGAAGGAUUUGGAAAUUUGACAUUAUAAAAAAAAAACAAUUGGAGGGAUUAUUAAUAAAAUGAUGUUCAGGAAAAUUAAUUUGGAAAUCAUAGGAACAGGAAGUGGGUGAUAACACGUGGCUUCCGAUUUACUGCCAUUGCCACUAUACCCACCAUAGUCACCAAGCCCAUAGUCAAUGCCUCCAAGUGCUCGGUAGGAAAUAGGCCCAAAACACUAAGACGUGCCCCAGAGUUAGAGAAGAUGCUGGAGAGAUCUUUGAUCAAGCCACUUCACCAGAUUUAUGGCGAUAGAUCUUUCCGAAGACAUGAAGAACGGUGACAAAGCCGAUAAAGCAAAGGUUCAUCACGAGAACCACCGUUGGAGUAAUCUUCAAGCCCGGAUCGUCAUCGGUGUAGAACAAGAGCAUGUUGCUCUCGCUGCUGCCACUGCCGCACCCUCCGGAGCUCUGAAACGACAGUGCGUGUGAGGAGAUUGACAACGACGCCGUCGAAGACAACCGGUCUACAUAACCCUCCAACAAGCUUCGUCCUGAAGCUACUUCUGCCGCGGUGCUUUCCACAUGUCGUCCAUACAUCCAGUGACCCGAAUCAGCGCCACCUCGUCCUCAACUCCAACGCAGCUGAAUCUCACGCUGCUGUCCAGUUUGACCUGCGUCGGAAAGAACGACGUUGGGGGCCACGCAGGCAUCGACGGUGAUCUUCGGGAGCCACUGCCCCAGGGGAAUUAUCCUUCUCCGUCCUUUUUUUGAGCCUUCAACACUUUCUACAGCAAAAGUCUCCUCAACUUUUGAUGGCCCCCACAUGUACCAGUUGAGGCUAUUUUAUGAAUUUCNNNNNNNNNNNNNNNNNNNNNNNNNNNNNNNNNNNNNNNNNNNNNNNNNNNNNNNNNNNNNNNNNNNNNNNNNNNNNNNNNNNNNNNNNNNNNNNNNNNNAUUCAAAACAAGAUGUCCAAUACUCCAAAAGAACACCAAAAAAACAGAGAAGAAAGUGAAGAAAACAGAGUGCGUGCAAGAGAUGAUAAUACCAUUAAACCAAACUUUACUUCAUGAAGAUCGGAGAGCUUAAAACAAUCUGGUGGGUUAAGUGAAUGGUUUUAACACAUAAACAAACAACAUCGACACCAUGUGACUCACACAGGAAUAAACAAAAAUCAAGCAAGCAGGGAUGAAAACAUGCUUAAGAUCUUAAACAGUCAAAAUGAACAUUUCAAAUAUUAGGAAAGGAGUCAAAUAUGGUUGUGAAAAGGAAAAACCUGAAGUCGAAGACAACCAAAAUUUGGAUGACUCCUUUUCUCUCUGUGACUGAAAUCCCACCUUCUCGUUCUACUCCCUGAGCUGAGAACUCUCCUCUCAACUCCAAACUCACUCCAGACCAGCCUCUCUUCACUCUCCCCCUCCUCUCUGACUCUCUCUCUCUAGCUAAACUCCUCUAAGCCUUCCCUCCUCCUCAAAAUAUCUCUAACGGACUCUGAAAAGCACUCCCUACUCCAGCUGCCAGAGACGCUCCUCCAUUCACGGCUUCCAGAUUCCCAUGCAACGUGUCCCCUUUUGAUUGGCUUCCCAAACCACUAUUAUGAUUCUCUCAUGGCUUCUCAGGUGUUGACACGUGGCUGACCAAGGCUCUUCCACAUGGUAAAAUUGAGCUGCAAGGUAGGAAUGACCUAAAAGGGGGUCUACAAAUAUGCCCCUCUUCGGUAGAGUUCACGAGUGUAAAGAACAUGAACACUGGAGUGAAAAGUAAGUGUGAAUAGUGAGUGGAAUGAAGUGAACUCUACCGAAGAACCAAGGAGACCCCCAUAGAGACACUAGUGAGAUAUAAACUCACUCAGACUAACAGAUAAACAACGAGGCUCUAAUCCUAAAAGGAAAUGAUGUCUCAAAAAUGCCUCUGCAGCCACACUAAGGAUCCAAGCUCCCUCUAAGACGUCUCCAAAAGUGACUCGAAGAUCAAUGUCAAAGAUGAGUAACAGUCGAACCACCCUAGAGUACAAGAAAGAAUGUGCCCGAAGGAAACUACCCUAUGUGAACUACAUGAGAAGACUAGGUGUAGGGUGCCCAACAACAUGACAAAAAUACGCAUCACGGAAUCAAAGAACUAUGUCAUGUGCAAUGGAAUGGGAAGUCUAGAAGAGCAAUGACGAUCAAGCAAUGAGCUCCAGGUAACUGAGUGAGGAAAAUGACUCUGAAAAACCAAAAUGGAGGAAUAAUGGCGACUCAGAAUGCAAAGAAGACUCAACUAUGCAGGUGUGACUCGAAGGUGAACAAGACUCAACUCAAUCCGACAAAACAAUGACCGAUCGAUAUAGGUGCGGUCCCGACUCAAACUGAACUGAUAGGAAGAUGGUCGAUCGAUAUAGGUGCGGCCCAGACUCAAACUGACGUGAUGAAUGACCGAUCGAUAUAGGUGCGGUCCCGACUCGAACUGAACUGAUAGGAAGAUGGCCGAUCGAUAUAGGUGCGGCCCCGACUCAAACUGACAUGAUGAAUGACCGAUCGAUAUAGGUGCGGUCCCGACUCGAACUGAACUGAUAGGAAGAUGGCCGAUCGAUAUAGGUGCGGCCCCGACUCAAACUGACAUGAUGAAUGACCGAUCGAUAUAGGUGCGGUCCCGACUCUAACUGAACUGAUAGGAAGAUGGCCGAUCGAUAUAGGUGCGGCCCCGACUCAAACUGACAUGAUGAAUGACCGAUCGAUAUAGGUGCGGUCCCGAAACUAAACUGAUAGAAAGAUGGCCGAUCGAUAUAGGUGCGGCCCCGACUCAAACUGACAUGAUGAAUGGCCGAUCGAUAUAGGUGCGGUCCCAGAAACUAAACUGAUAGGAAGAUGGCCGAUCGAUAUAGGUGCGGCCCCGACUCAAACUGACAUGAUGAAUGACCGAUCGAUAUAGGUGCGGUCCCAGAAACUAAACUGAUAGGAUGAAUGACCGAUCGAUAUAGGUGCGGUCCCAGAAACUAAACUGAUAGGAUGAAUGACCGAUCGAUAUAGGUGCGGUCCCAGAAACUAAACUGAUAGGAUGAAUGACCGAUCGAUAUAGGUGCGGUCCCAGAAACUAAACUGAUAGGAAGAUGGCCGAUCGAUAUAGGUGCGGCCCCGACUCGAACUGAACUAAUAGGAAGAUGGCCGAUCGAUAUAGGUGCGGCCCCGACUCAAACUGACAUGAUGAAUGACCGAUCGAUAUAGGUGCGGUCCCAGAAACUAAACUGAUAGGAUGAAUGACCGAUUGAUAUAGGUGCGGUCCCAGAAACUAAACUGAUAGGAAGAUGGCCGAUCGAUAUAGGUGCGGCCCCGACUCAAACUGACAUGAUGAAUGACCGAUCGAUAUAGGUGCGGUCCUAGAAACUGAACUGAUACGAAGAUGGCCGAUCGAUAUAGGUGCGGCCCCGGAUUCUAACUGAACUGAUAGGAAGAUGGCCGAUCGAUAUAGGUGCGGCCCCGACUCAAACUGACACGAUAAUGACCGAUCGAUAUAGGUGCGGCCCCGACUCGAACUCAAACUGAUAAGAUGAAUGACCGAUCGAUAUAGGUGCGGUCCCGACUCAAACUGACACGACGAAUGACCGAUCGAUAUAGGUGCGGUCCCGACUCGAACUGAACUGAUAGGAAGAUGGCCGAUCGAUAUAGGUGCGGCCCCGGACUCUAACUGACACUGAUGAUGAUGAAUGACUUGGUCAAGUGACCCAAAACCAAAGGAUGACUCAGAUAAUAAUGCAAACAAACUCGAUCGGAGGGGAUAUGCCCCAGUAUGACAACUCAUGCGGAUCGACAACUAGGUCGACAGAUAAUGAAGCCUGUGAAAGGUCCGAUGAUCUCGGAGAAGGAGGGUAUGCCCCAGUAUGCAACUCAAGGGAAUCAACAACUAGAUCAAAAGUGAGUGAAACCGGUGGAAGGUUCAAUGCUCUCGGAGAAGGGGUAUGCCCCAGUAUGCAAUGACGAACAGACAGAGAUGCAAAAUGCCUCAAAACUACUGUACUCUGAAAUAUGCUCAUCCAUCAUGUAAUGAAAAUGUCCAACCUCAAAUAGGUAAUGCCAAACAGGACUAUGUAUAGUGAUACCAUGCUGACUAAACAGAAAUGACUGACGAAUAAAAACAAUGAUGACCAAUGCCCGAAAUGUGAAAAACAAGCAAAUCAACACUCAACAUGCCAACUGUCAAAAUGAAAGCAUCAACACUAAUAAGUCAGCAAUCUGUCAGGCCCUGCCAUCAUGGAAGAUGUUGAACCUAAAGUCCAAAAGAUAUAUGAAAGCACAACCAAGGUGAUCGAGGACUGAUCUACAUCUCCUCAUAAUCGAGAAAGGGGUGAGGUCAUGUGCCAUGGUAAGAUGUGAAGGAUAAAAGAAGGUGAUGGUCAGGCUCCGGUAUGAGAGAAGGUAUGAAAGUAUCCAUGGUGAAACGUCUGAGUAUGAAAUGAAAGGUAGGGAGAUAUCCGAGAUCAUCCAAGUAUGCCGAGAAGACUAAACCCAAGGUGUCGAUAACUCCAUAACCCAUCGUAAGUAGCAAUCACAAACAGGAAGUCAAGCCUCAAUGUCAAAACCUCCAACAAGGUGGCUAUGCCCCAGUAUGCAAUGAGGACAACAUGAAAUAAUCCAAUGAUCUCCCUAUCACUCGUCAGGUGCUCCAAUGUCAAGAACCAAUAUGAUCUCCCUCCAAAAGAUGGACAUGCCCCAAUGUAAAGGAUCCAAAUAGGGUGGCUAUGCUCCAAUGAAAAAUGCUCUCCGUCCCGGCUAUGCCCCAGUGUAAAGUAGUGUAUCCGAGUCAGCAAAUCAAUCAACCUCUACUCCCGGUGCCAAAACGGAAACAUCUCAACAUAAUCCAUAUGAAUCAGAAUCCCCGGGCUCCAUGAAUGUGAAUGCGGUGGCUAUGCCCCAGUAUAAACCAACUGAAGUGACUAUGCUCCAAUGACCAAUCAAAGUCCAUCACCAAUGAGAGGGCUACGCCUCAAAUAAAAUCGUCAUCUCAAAAACCAACCAUCGAUGAGUAGAGUGUGUCCCAAUGCAGAGUAUCGAGUAGAGCGACCGUAUCUCCAAUAAAAACGCCCUCUGAAAUGGCUAUGCCCCAGUAUAGGGUCAUCCCACAACUCCUGAUCCAUCGUAAUCCAAGUGAAGAAGCGAACUGACUAUGCCUCAGUGCAAGGCACCAUCCAGAAAGAAAAUGUCAUCAAUGAGCGGGGUAUGCCCCAGUGUAGAUAACGUCGCCUCUGAAAGUCCAUCACCGAUAAGAGGGGUAUGCCCCAGUGUAAAUCAUCAUCUCAACUCCACAUCCAUAAUGCUCUGAGAGAUAAUCACCGACCAAGCUCGAGUAUUGCCCAUGUGUGAGCCGUCAAACACAAUGUGAAGUAAUGGCCUCAGGGUGGUCUUCAGACAUGGGACGUAACGUAGGGCAAGGUAAUAGGGUGAAAGAAACGAAAGGAAACUAGGCUAAAAAAUCCCAAUGAUACAAUCCCCAUACCCCUCGUGCAUGAUAUGCAAUGCGCAGAAAAUGUCAUGAGUCCCGGACCUAGGGGUCCCCACACGAAAAGUGAUGAUAAAUGAAUGGAUACAUCGAAUAAGCAAGAAUAAAGUGUGGAUGCUGAACCCAUGUCAAACAUCAAACAGAAUGAGAAUAGAAUGAGAUAAGAUGAAAUGGAGUGAAACGGAGGGAUAAAAUAAAGAUGAAAGAAGGCGAAGAGAUAGAAAAAUGAGUGAUGGUCAACCUGCAUCAAAGCAUGGAAAGUAGUCACAUCCGAAAUAGACGGAAUGAUGGAUAGAGCAAGGAUCCAGAGAUACAGAAGAAAAGUCGCUCGCAUCUCUCACAAAAAACGAAUGGGCGAAUCAUACUCUCACCCAAAAUAUACAUCAAGAUGAAUCUAAAAAAUAAGCUUUCAUACGAGCUCUCUCUAUCAUAUGAACUCAAUGAAACAACUUGGCACGUCCAUACACAUGCCUGAUGAAGAAUGAUACAAUGAAUAAUGCGCUAUCAUCAAUCAAUUUUUUUAUUUUUUUAUUUUAUUAUUUUUUUAUUUUUUAUUUUUUUUUUAUUUUUUUAUUUUUUUUAUUUUUAUUUUUUUUUUAUUUUUUUAUUUUUUUUAUUUUUUAUUUUUUUUUAUUUUUUUGCGCGUACGCUGAUCAAUAGUGAAUGAACUCCCAUGAAAAUACAUACCCAAAUGAAUAAACUCUCUCCAUGUACUGAUGUAACAUGAAUCCUCACUAACAAGACAACCUCUCAAAUAAGAUCCCUGGACCAUUGCCCAUAAGGCGAACGGGGGAGGAACGUGACAAUCCUCCAUGCAGUGACGUGUGAAAAACCACCACUCAAGGUGAAACACGGAUAAUGUCGAGUAAGCGAUGAUGAAAGAAAAGACAGAGAACGAAUAUCACAAGUGGUGAUAUAUGAUAUAAGAAAAAUAGUGAUGAAAUGAUGUCCAAGUGGAAAAUAUCACAGUGAAAAGUGAAGAAUGAUGCCUGAAUAUGUAUGUCAGGUUUGGAACUCAUGACGUAUCCAAUCAUAGCAUGCAAGCGCUACAGGGUCCCUAACCCGGUGUAAUAGGUAAAUGAGGUGAUGAAAGAAAAGGCUAUGUGCUCGUGUGAAGCUCAAAGGGCUAGCAAUGGAUAACUCUAUAUGUGAGGGUGAUAAAGUAAAUAGGCUCAUGAAAUGAUGGCCACCCAUCCUUUAACCACAACCUCGAACAUCGUGCUUUUGAGAUCUCACAUGGUCAAUACUAAAGACUGGCAUCCAUCCAACAUAGUCAUGGCGACUCAUCUGAAAUCGCGUAAAAGCCCUCACUGAUGCUCUGUGAUAACCGUCAAUAUCCUCGGAUAAUCACCUCACUCUAUCAUCAUAAUCCACUCACCAUCGUCUCAUAAAAUCACCAUCUCUAAUCAUCCCGACUCUCUGAAGUCAUGUGCAAUGACUCAAAUCUGGAUGCUCCAUGACGUCUCCUCUACCUCAACAACAUCGUCAAACAAUCAAGCCACUCUCUCAUCAUGAUCCAUCUAUCAUCGUGUAAAGCUCACCUCGGGUCUAACCAUCUCGGACUCUACCUGGUCAGAUCCAUGAAAUGAUGGAAAGGAUAGGCAAUGGUACUGUAGCCUGAUAAGGCGAACAGGGAUGGUAAAGUCGUACAGUAAUACCAAAGGGUGGUGUCAUGUCAGGCUCAAAAUGGGUAGGUCAUCAAGUCUGAAAAGGCUAAGGUAUGGAUGUGGGUAUGGUACCACUCUAAUCAGAAGGUGAAAUGGGUCACAGCCUCAAACUCCCUAGGUCGAUCUCCUGAUCCUAGGUCAAUAGACUCAAUAUCCUCCAUGAUAGGUCAGACCCAAGUGAUCGUGAUGUAAGUGAAAGAUGUAUCAUAUCGAAAGCAUAACACGCAUCAACGCAAGAUAUGUAAAACACACUCCCGAGAAAAAUGCCACAAUACUCAAGAUAAAAUAUCAUAUCACUAAAUGAACCAACGAGUACAUCAUGUGUGAAAUGGUAAAGGACUACAAACAACUGGACUCUCAACAUGAAACUAAAAACAAUGACCCUAAACCGAAAACAGGACUCAACAAAACAAAAACAACUCUGAUGAACUGAAAACUGGACUCAACAAAAUGGAAAUGAGUCUGAUGAUGACCAUAAUCAAAAUGAGAAAUGCUCUGAACUGAACUGCUACCAAGUGAUGUACCCAUGUCGACUGACCUAAGUCCUCAUCCUGGAAGAUCCCAGAGCGCCAUAUGCCAACAGUACCAUCAACAUCCAAAUCGGUCUACUGAAGACCAGGAGGAGGAGGAACUGCAUGUGUAGAAUGUGUAGGCAGGGGAUUGGUGGUCACACUUGGCCUAGCCAAGUCAACCACCCCUGAAUCGAUCAAAUCCUGUAUCGCAUGAUGGAGUGCUGAACAACGCUCAGUAUCGUGCCCCGGAAUCUGAUGAUACAAGCAAUGCUCAUGUAAACGGAAAUGAGGAGGAAUAGGAUGGGGCAAAGGCCUCGGUGCCAAAGGAACAAUCACUCCAGCGUCUCUGAGCUUCUCAAAAGCUCUAGUCAAAGUCAUACCCAACGGAGUAAACUGUCUCGCGGGCCUCUGUGCAUAUGGCCUAGGUAGCGGGUGAGUAGUGGCUCUCGGAUGUGGUGGUCGCGGCUGCACGCUAGUCUGAGCAAUGUAAGGCUCCUGAGCAUAAUCCAACUGAUACUGAUACUGUGGAAGAGAGAAAGGAGCUCUGACUGUAGGAGGCCUAUAAGCUGAGUGAAGCGCGGGCCUCCGGUGCUGAUAGCUAAUAACACCAACCUCUCCAGAUCUACCCAAUGGUCCAAUCAGCUUCUUCCCCUUACUGUCAGGGGAAGAAGUAGUAUCUGUCCAUAAUCCUCGAGCAAUGGCCUCCUCAACACUGAAAGCUGCCUGAACCAAACUCCUGAGAUCCUGAAAUGGGAUGCCCACAAGACGUCUCGCGAACCUCGGCUGUAGGUUCCGAAGAACCAUAUCAAUCUGAUCCUGCUCCUUAGGCCGGUCUACCAUACCAGCCACCUUUGCCCUCCAACGAGUGACAAAUGAAGAAAUAGACUCCUCUGGCCUCUGUCUAGUGGCCUCCAACUCUCGUCUGGAUACAUCAAUAUCGGCACUGAAAGCGAACUGAGUCAGGAACUCACGAGCCACGUCUUCCCAGGUGCGGAGUCUCGAAGGCUCAACUGAAGCAAACCAUCUCUGAGCUGCUCCACUAAGUGACAUCGGGAAGAGGGCCACCAACUGCGCAUCAUCUAUACCAUGUGCUCUCAUGACCGUGCUGUAUAGCCUCAAGUGGAUCUUGGGACAACCAAUCCCACUGUAACGCUCAAUGUCUGGCAUGCGAAACUUGGCGGGCAAGCUAGCCGCCGGUAUGCCAUCCCUGUCAUCCCAAGUCAAACCUCCGUCCUGCAAUCUGAUCUGUCUCAUCAUGGACUCAAGCCUCUCAACCUUGGCCUCCUGCUCGGCCAAUCGAGUAUCCUCAAUAGUAGGAACCAUGGGAGGCGGCACUGUGACAGUAGGUGGUGGAAUGGUCUCAUAAUGAUCUGCCAGAUGGAACGGAGUACCAAGUGAAACCCUAGGUGGACGAGUCUGUGCUGUCUGAGAUGCAUGAGGAACUGUCUCAUCAAUGACCAUGCCAACCGGCUGGGGAUCCUGGCGAGAACUCUCUAUCUGAUCCAAGCGCUUACUGACUCCGGCCAUGAACUCCUGAAUGGAAGCGAGUGUGGAAGCUAGCUCGUCUGACAUCUCAACUGAACUGUCUGAACUCAAAUAUGAAUCUGAUCUGAUCAAUCGUCCUCCAACUCUCCUCCAAGAAUGUGACUCCAGACUCAACCGACUCCUAAACUGACUUCCUACAAUGCAAACAAGAUGGAUGAAGGACAUGAGAUGAAACUCUAAAAGACGACAGUACAACAUACAAGCACAUGGUCCAGAGGUAGCAAUCAGAAAUCUGGAUAUAUGACGAGAACUCUGGAGUCAUAAAGGUGUCCACUGUGAGAUGGCUACAAAUGUGACUAGAGAAUUCCUAUCAAUAAUCCAAGAUGAAAGAGGUGUGAAAAACACACUAUCACGAGAUCGGUACUCCAUCAAUAAACAUAUACCUUUAACUCAACUUCCAACCCAAGCUCCAUAAGAGAAAAAAUGAUAGGGUGAUCAAGGCGAAUCUCUCGAAAAAAGUGUGGAUGUGAAAAUGCGCCUUUCACCUUUCCGUAAUGAAAAUAUGAGCAUCGGGUUGAAAAUUGAAUCAAGUAUCCAACGAAGAAAUGAAGUACUCAGCCCGUGAUAGGUGUACAAUGCAAAAACAAGAUGAUCAAUGAACAUAUCCCAAAGUAUCAAGUGAGUGACAACAAAGUGAAGGGGUGUGUCGAGCCAAGAAAUGAGAACGAAAUCCCUAGGGAGAAAACAUGCUAAACUCCUUGAGUAAAAAAACAUAAUCUAAGGUGACAAGGCGAAAGGUGAUCCAACCGAUACUCAAACAAAUAACGAUCUCCGAGUACUCUCAACUGGAGACUAAAAAGAGGGAAUACUGGAUCCGAACUGUAACUAAAGAGGCUCCGAAGGCCCUCAGAUGCACCCACGUGUGAGGAAGGAAGUCCUACUCGAAGGAUCUACGGCUCAACCUACGAGGUCAGGUGGCUCUAAAUGGAUAUGGGUGGACUUUAAAAAAAUCCCGAGCAGAAGCGAUCAUACCCUCCAGCGGUACGCAACCCUCUGCACACCUCAGAAAAGACGGGGCGCUUCCAUGCAAGGUGGACAUCGCAUCCACACAUGCACUACCUCGACAUCCCAAGGGGUUUCCUAUGGUGAAUUCUCUCAAACUCUCAACGCUCAAUAGUCAACUAGAGUGCACAGUAAUCGGUGUGGGUGCAUCCGAAACCCUAAGAAGAUAAAGCAGAAGAUGAGACACACUGGUCGCAUAAAUAUCCAUGAAACCUAGCUCGGGGCUAUACAGGUCUUCAAUGAUCGGACUCUAAUCGACAACAAUGCGCCGCUCGCCUCCAGAAUGCUCCCAAACAUCAGUAUAGCCCGUCGCUGGACCCUACUCCUAACCUCUAUCUCGGUCAGAGUACAAGCACACACAAGGCCUCACACUUGCAAAAGUGAGAACCGUAAUGAAGGAAGUGACCGAGACUAGAGGGUGGGAGACAAGGAGAUAGAUAUGCGACCCACAUAAACAAACGGCACACAAUCAUGCAAAAGGAGGGCAGUCAUGCGACACGCAAUCAAACAAAUCUCAGAUAUAUCAUCAAUGUACACACACAAAAUAAGCGAGAAUACGACGAUCAGAUGAAUAAUGAUACAAAGACAACACGCUUAAAGAUGAUCAAAAUAAUAUACCAACAAGUGGAUCAGCAUGUCGAGUCGAAUGAUAUACAGUGGUGAGUGUAUGCAUGUGAAGUGAUUAGAACAAUCAUGGCAAAAUCAGAGUAAAUGUGCUAAGCAAUGCAAUAUGAUCAAUCAAUAUAAAUCAGCAAUGUCGAUGUAGCAAACAUAUAUAAUCAGUGAAGCACGAAAAAUCACGGCCUCAGAAGCCUCAAUCAGGAUAAAAUCAAUCAUCAUAAUCAACAUGUCAAAAGUCUCGAACAGAUAUAAAAUCCGAGUAUACAUCAAAUAUCCUCAAUGUGCAAUCAAGAAAUGGGUACCCAUUGAUCGUCCAAUCGAAUGCCACGUUUGCUUCAUUCUAAGUUCAAGCUUGACCCUCUAAAAAAAAUCCCCAGUGGAGUCGCCAUUUUGUGGACCCCGCGUUUCGAUCUAUCUCAAUGCGUUUCCCACUCAAUGGCGAGCUCGAUUUUUAUUUUAUUAGAAAAAAUGAUUUUUAUCGAUUAAGAAAAUGACUUGGAGUCGCCACUUAUUUUUGUUUUAUUAUUAAAGGGUAAACAAAAUAAGAAAGAAAAACCCUAAGUGUGACUCCUUAUUUUGGAAAAGGCGGUCUGUGAAAAACCGGAUCGGGUUCGGGGGUCAGGUUACUUCUCGGGAAGGUAUGGUAAAGACCGUAGCACCCCUCUAAGUCCCUAAAGUCGGGUCUCUACUAAUAAAAUGAAGCUGACAUGGCAACCAAUGAGAAAGUCAAUGAAUACCUAGGACGAAUCAUGCACAUACGAGAAUUAAAACAUGCAAAUAAAAUGACUAGGAUGCGAGUGGAUGUGUACCUGGACCGUGAACGAUCAAUGCGCUAUCAUAAAACAGGGUUAGUGAGCAAUGAACAAAAUAUAAUUAAGCGCAUAACAUGGAACAAAAUAAAUCAAACACGCACGAUAAGUAAAUCAAUCAAAACAAUCAAUCAAUCGUCAAUUCACAUAUGUGGGGGCCCCACCAAAGCCCGUUUAUUUUUGCAUGAAUNNNNNNNNNNNNNNNNNNNNNNNNNNNNNNNNNNNNNNNNNNNNNNNNNNNNNNNNNNNNNNNNNNNNNNNNNNNNNNNNNNNNNNNNNNNNNNNNNNNNGGAAAAUGGGAGGUUUUAGGCCUUAAAAAUAAAUCUAAGGAUGAAAUUCGAAAGGCAAAAAUUGUUGAAAGGAUUUGGAAAUUGGCCAUUAUAAAAAAAAAACCAUUGGAGGGAUUAUUAUUAAAAGAUGUUUCAGGAAAAUUAAUUUGAAAAUCAUAGGAACAGGAAGUGGGUGAUUAACACGUGGCUUCCGAUUUACUGCCAUUGCCACUAUACCCACCAUAGUCACCAAGCCCAUAGUCAAUGCCUCCAAGUGCUCGGUAGGAAAUAGGCCCAAAACACUAAGACGUGCCCCAGAGUUAGAGAAGAUGCUGGAGAGAUCUUUGAUCAAGCCACUUCACCAGAUUUAUGGCGAUAGAUCUUUCCGAAGACAUGAAGAACGGUGACAAAGCCGAUAAAGCAAAGGUUCAACACGAGAACCACCGUUGGAGUAAUCUUCAAGCCCGGAUCGUCAUCGGUGUAGAACAAGAGCAUGUUGCUCUCGCUGCUGCCACUGCCGCACCCUCCGGAGCUCUAAAACGACAGUGCGUGUGAGGAGAUUGACAACGACACCGUCGAAGACAACCGGUCUACAUAACCCUCCAACAAGCUUCGUCCUGAAGCUACUUCCGCCGCGGUGCUUUCCACAUGUCGUCCAUACAUCCAGUGACCCGAAUCAGCGCCACCUCGUCCUCAACUCCAACGCAGCUGAAUCUCACGCUGCUGUCCAGUUUGACCUGCGUCGGAAAGAACGACGUUGGGGGCCACGCAGGCAUCGACGGUGAUCUUCGGGAGCCACUGCCCCAGGGGAAUUAUCCUUCUCCGUCCUUUUUUUGAGCCUUCAACACUUUCUACAGCAAAAGUCUCCUCAACUUUUGAUGGCCCCCACAUGUACCAGUUGAGGCUAUUUAUGAAUUUCAUGGUUCAGAUUUGCAUCCAUCUUAUCUGAUUAUUCAAUCUGUUCUAGCUUGACAACGUCCAGAUUAAGCGUCCACUUAUUGUCUUCUGAUGAGUCAAGCUAUAAUAACCAGAUUUCUUUGUCGAUGUCUAUUGAUUCGGAUACCUUCAGCACAACAGAUCAGAAAAACUUGUUGCCUCAACUAUAACCUCAGUGUAGCUGGAGGCUCAUAAUCCUGCAGCUUAUUGAAAAAAAGAUCCAGUGACUAAUCGAAAAACCUGCCCAUCAUAGGUCCGACCAGUUCUUCCUCUAAGCUACUCAACCUGAGACUUGGAGACAUAGGCAAGCUCUGGAGCUUCCUUUUUCCGAUUACUGGAAGCUCACAGAGUGACCUUCCUCAUUUCUUCAUUCUACAACAGCGAACUCUCUUUCUCAAAAGCACCCCAAUCCAAACGGCCAAAUUCAAAACAAGAUGUCCAAUACUCCAAAAGAACACCAAAAAAACAGAGAAGAAAGUGAAGAAAACAGAGUGCGUGCAAGAGAUGAUAAUACCAUUAAACCAAACUUUACUUCAUGAAGAUCGGAGAGCUUAAAACAAUCUGGUGGGUUAAGUGAAUGGUUUUAACACAUAAACAAACAACAUCGACACCAUGUGACUCACACAGGAAUAAACAAAAAUCAAGCAAGCAGGGAUGAAAACAUGCUUAAGAUCUUAAACAGUCAAAAUGAACAUUUCAAAUAUUAGGAAAGGAGUCAAAUAUGGUUGUGAAAAGGAAAAACCUGAAGUCGAAGACAACCAAAAUUUGGAUGACUCCUUUUCUCUCUGUGACUGAAAUCCCACCUUCUCGUUCUACUCCCUGAGCUGAGAACUCUCCUCUCAACUCCAAACUCACUCCAGACCAGCCUCUCUUCACUCUCCCCCUCCUCUCUGACUCUCUCUCUCUAGCUAAACUCCUCUAAGCCUUCCCUCCUCCUCAAAAUAUCUCUAACGGACUCUGAAAAGCACUCCCUACUCCAGCUGCCAGAGACGCUCCUCCAUUCACGGCUUCCAGAUUCCCAUGCAACGUGUCCCCUUUUGAUUGGCUUCCCAAACCACUAUUAUGAUUCUCUCAUGGCUUCUCAGGUGUUGACACGUGGCUGACCAAGGCUCUUCCACAUGGUAAAAUUGAGCUGCAAGGUAGGAAUGACCUAAAAGGGGGUCUACACAUGUCUUCGUAUAUCUUUAUCCAAUUUAAAUAGUUUUUAUAUAUUUAUCUUUAUCCAAUAACUUUUUCCUCCCCUAACCCAAAAUAUUUAUAAUGAUAUUCUUAAUAAUUUUUUUAUUAUAUAUAAAAAAGUCUAAUAUUACAAUAAUAUAUUAAGAGUCCUCGCUCAAUUACAAUACUUAAUUUUUUUCUAAGCAAUUAAUUCUCUAUUCCUCUGAUUUUUUUUUGCUUUUAACUACCAUUGGGCAAUUACAUUUUUAAAUACAAUUUUCAAAGUACACGUUUAUCAUAAUUAUAUCUUUAUCCAAUUUAAAUAGUUUUUAUAUAUUUAUCUUUAUCCGAUAACUUUUUCCUCCCCUAACCUAAAAUAUUUAUAAUGAUAUUCUUAACAUUUUUUUUAUUAUAUAUAAAAAAAUAUAAUAUUACAAUAAUAUAUUAAAAGUCCUCAACUCAAUUACAAUACUUGUUUUUUUUCUAAGCAAUUAAUUCUCUAUUCUUCCGAUUUUUUUUUGCUUUUAACUACCAUUGGGCAAUUACAUUUUUAAAUACAAAUUUCAAAGUACACAUUUAUCAUAAUUAUAUCUUUAUCCAAUUUAAAUAGUUUUUAUAUAUUUAUCUUUAUCCAAUAACUUUUUCCUCCCCUAACCUAAAAUAUUUAUAAUGAUAUUCUUAACAAAUUUUUUUAUUAUAUAUAAAAAAAUCUAAUAUUACAAUAAUAUAUUAAGAGUCCUCGCUUCCUUCCAAUUUUUUUUUUGCUUUUAACUACCAUUGGACAAUUACAUUUUUAAAUACGAAUUUCAAAGUACACGUUUAUCAUAAUCCUGUUAAGAAAUAUAAAGAUAUAUCUUUAUCCAAUUUAAAUAGUUUUAUAUAUUUAUCUCUAUCUGGUAAUUUUUUCCUCUCCUAAUUUAAAAUAUUUAUAAUGAUAUUCUUAACAAUUUCUUUAUUGUAUAUAAGAAAAAAUUAAUAUUAUAAUAAUAUAUCAACUGUACUCGCUCCAUUACAAUACUUAAUUGUUUUCUAAGCAAUUAAUUCUCUAUUCUUCCAAUUUUUUUUGCUUUUAACUACCAUUGGAGAAUUACGUUUUUAAAUACAAAUUUCAAAGUAUACGGUUUAUCAUAAUCUUGUUAAAAAAUACAAAACAUGUUCUUUAUCCAAUUUAAAUAGUUUUUAUAUAUUUAUCUCUAUUUGGUAAUUUUUUCCCCUCCUAAUCUAAAAUAUUUAUAAUGAUAUUCUUAACAAUUUCUUUAUUGUAUAUAAGAAAAUUUUAAUAUUAUAAUAAUAUAUCAACCGUCGCUCCAUUACAAUACUUAAUUUUUUUCUAAGCAAUUAAUUCUCCAUUCUUCCGAUUUUUUUUUUGCUUUUAACUAGCAUUGAGCAAUUACAUUUUUAAAUACAAAUUUCAAAGUAUAUGUUUAUCAUAAUCUUGUUAAGAAAUACAAAACAUGUCUUGGUAUAUCUUUAUCCACUUUAUAUAGUUUUUAUAUAUUUAUUUCUAUUUGAUAAUUUUUUCCUCUUCUAAUCUAAAAUAUUUAUAAUGAUAUUCUUAACAAUUUCUUUAUUGUAUAUAAGAAAAAUCUAAUAUUAUAAUAAUAUAUCAAAGUCCUUGCUCCAUUACAAUACUUAAUUUUUUUCUAAGCAAUUAAUUAUAUAUUCUUCCAAAUUUUCUUUUCUUUUUUUCUUUUAACUACCAUUGGACAAUUACAAUUUUAAAUACAAAUUUCAAAGUACACAUUUAUCAUAAUCCUAUUAAGAAAUACAAAACAUGUCAUAUAUGUUGUCUCUCAUUUUAAUAUUUGAUAUUAAAAUCAUAUUUAUAAUAAUUGAUUAAUAACAUGAAAAGGAUGUAUUCUAGAAGUCCUAAAAUUCAUUAUUAUCACAUAAAAUAAAUAUAAAUUUAAACUCCAAUUUUUGAAAAAUGAUAUUACAAAAUUAUGAUUUAGAGCUACGAUUGGAUGAUAAUUUUGCAAAAAUUUGUGGAGUAAGAGAUAAUUAUGAGUGUAAACAACUCGUGGAUUUGUAUUUGGAUUUGGAUUCAUCAUAUAUUUAUAUUUUUAGGGUUUUGAUAAAACCCUAAAAAUAUUUUGACUCCGAUUUAAUUAUCUUAAAUUGGUUGGACCUGAAAAUAAAUUGAGAAAUAGGCAGGAAUAGAAAAAUACAAGGCAAAGACGAGCUGUCCCAGUGGCGUGGAAAAAACUUCUUAACUUCUCUGAAUAACUGCCAAAUAUCACGAAGGCCCCAACAAACAUACUAUUAUUACGCACUUUGCUGUUGCAGAGUCGCACCUAAAUUCCUCUCAAAUUCCUGCUUCCUCCACCAAUGGCCACUCUCUCUGCCUUCUCUACUCCUUCUCCUCCAUGGCCAAAUCCUAACCCUAGCUCUGACCCUAACCCUAACGCUAAGUCAGACUUGCCUGAUCAUGAGGAGCGGUCGCAGAGAACCGAACUGGAGGAUGUCGAUUCGCCGCCGAAUUCUCGUCCUACUCAAAACUUUAACCCUAACAUCCAGGAUGGUCGUCUGUCUCCAUCGUCGGUUCCGUCUCUUCUCCACAUCUCGUUCAACCAAGACUACGGAUGCUUCGCGACGGGUACAGAUAGGGGGUUUCGCGUCUAUACGUGUGACCCCUUCCGUGAGAUAUUCCGGCGAGAUUUGGACCGCGGCGGGGGGAUUGGGGUUGUUGAAAUGCGGUUAGUGUCUAAUUUGAUGGCCUUGGUGGGCGGGGGCUCCGACCCUCAGUACCCGCUCAACAAGGUCAUGAUCUGGGACGAUUAUGAGAGUCGGUGCAUUGGCGAGCUCUCGUUUCGGUCGGAGGUUCGAGCAGUUCGUCUCCAGUUGGACCGGAUUGUGGUGGUGUUGGAGCAGAAGAUUUUCGUGUACAAUUUCGCGGACUUGAAGCUUUUGCAUCAGAUGGAGACGAUUGCGAAUCCGAAGGGGCUUUGCGCGGUUUCGCAGGUGGCUGGGUCUAUUGUGCUGGUGUGUCCCGGGUUGCAGAAGGGGCAGGUUAGGGUUGAACACUACGCGUCUAAAAGGACCAAGUUCAUCGCGGCCCAUGAAUCCAGAAUUGCGAGUUUUGCGCUCUCAAUGGACGGGCAGUUGCUUGCGACUGCAAGCUCUAAGGGGACUCUGGUCAGGAUUUACAACACAAUGGAUGGGGUAUUGCUCCAAGAGGUACGUAAUAGUUUUUCUCAUUCAGUGGAAAUUCUGAACUUUUAGUGGAUCAUAUGAAAUAGAGCAUCAAAUUUCUCGUUGAAAUGCAAUCUCUUGUUGAAUAUAGCUAUGGAUUUAUGAAAUUUGGUUGAUUUUGUGUGUGGAACUUGGUGGUUUGGAAAUUUCUUAAUUGCAUAAUUGUGGAUGCCCCGUGUAUGCCUCUCUUAGCAUGCCCUCAAAGCCUAAAUGAGAUUCUAGAACUGGGGAUUGAUAUGGUUGAAAUUUUAGUCUUCAGAAUUAUUUUCAUUUCAUAUUAUUUUGAAUUGACAUUGGUGCCUACAUUUUGAGGUGUGACAAAAUUAUCAUCACUCUUAAUUGAGCAAAUAUGUCUUCACAUGCAUAACCCAGCAUGCUGUAAUUGCUCAUAGAUCCUCUGGAAAGAUUGGGAAAUUUUACAUUGCAAUUCAAUCUGCUGCGCAAUUAAGAAACGUUAGGCUCAGUCCUUUGAAGCUGUCAAGCCAAAUAUGUCAGCUGAAUCUGGCCUAAGCUGAACCGGGAAACCUAAGUGGGUUACAGUGAAUUUACUUCUGAGGUGCCAAGUUACCAUGUUUGGGAGAGAAAAUAUGAACUAUUUGUUAGUUCCUCUACUCAUUUGUUGACUAAUUUUUUUUAUAGGUACUUUCCCCUUCUUUGGUCCCCAGUGUGGGACUUGAACUUGGAACCUCCCACAACCCCACCCCAAACCUUUAUGCUGUUGCAUUGUCCCUGCUGUACUAUUGGGUCAGAUUGCUUUUCAAAGCAGGGCCAGGAUGGACUUGCGUGAAGCCCUGGAUGCAGGCUUGCUGCACUUUGGGCUUGUCUAAAGAAAGAAAUAAAGUAGAACAAAUGUGAUCUUUAAGUAUAAGUAGCCUUAGCUCAGUGGCAACUAAACAGGUUGGAUUUUUUUUUAUCGUCAUUUCAAUUCCUUACACCUACAAUAUGAAGUAGGCAUUAUCUGGUCUCAGGCUGCACAUUGUGCUGAGGCAUGCCCAUACAAAGAUGCAGGUAGAGUUAUGGUCUGAAGAUUUGGGCUGAGUUUUUGUGUCUUCAGGCCAAUUUACAAUCACUAAACUCAUGCAGAACAAUUCAUGGAAAAGGAAACAGAGAAUCGAGGAGAGGUUAUCACUAUACUGCCUGUGUCAUUGACCAUAGGAGGUUUGUUUUGUUCUAUGUUCAUUAAACUUUGAUGACAUUUUUUGUUCUAUGUGGAAUAUCAUGAAAAUGUGGAUUUCUAAAGCAAGAUGUUAGUCUCCAUUUCGAACCAUUACCUCUAAUGCACUGUAUCUGAUCAUGGUUUUAUCACAUGUCAUCCAUGUAAUGAAUCAACUGGGCUUGUCCAGUAUUCUUGAGACAAUUGAUCUACAUAAUCUGUUGCUUAAUUAAUUUGGGGAAUCUACAUAAAUCAAUUCCUGCAUUAGGAAAUGUAAGAUUUUUCUUUUUGGUUUUUUUUUGGGGUUUUAAAGAUAAGAAUGUCUCUACAUGCUCCUUCUGGUCUUGCCAAGUGGGGAACUUUUCUUGUUUCUGCUGGGAAUCCAAAUUUACAAUUAUUUUAUCCUGAACUACUUGUAUUCAUGUUUGUUUAUGCUUUUGAGUUCAUAGCAUUGUAGAUAUAUUGCAAAUAACUGGAUAUCUAAUGCAGUUACGAAGGGGUGCUGACAGAGCAGAGAUCUAUAGUAUGGCAUUCUCUUCAACUGCACAGUGGCUGGUAGUCUCAAGUGACAAGGGCACUGUCCAUGUUUUCAGCCUUAAGGUUAAUUUAGCAUCCCCUGGGAAUGACAAGUCACGUGGUGCAUCUAAUUCCAAUCUGGCAGUAGCAUCAUCCACCUCAUCACUCUCUUUCAUCAAGGGUAAGGCACCUUUUCUUCAGUGUAUAGUUGUCUCAGUGAUAUGCAAGUUCUUACCAAAUUAGUGAUCUUGUGAAAUGAAACUCUCACUUUUUUGUCCCUCAAUACUUUUGAUUUGUGAUUUUCUGUCCCUUGUUUUUUACGCUUUUUUUAUGCAAUUGUUUUUCUUUGCUUCCCCUGCAUCUGUCAUUACUUGUUGCUUACUAGGAAGUAAUGAUGGAGAGUUGAUGAGCAAGACCCCAAGAACAAGAUGCAUUAGACAAUGUCAAUGUAUUGACUGUUGAAGGCUAAUAAUAAAUUGUGUCUUUGGCUUAGAACUUACUUGAAUUCUUACUUACAGGAGUAUUGCCCAAGUAUUUUAGCUCAGAGUGGUCAGUGGCUCAGUUUCGCUUGCCUGAAGGUUCUCAAUACAUUGUUGCUUUUGGUCACCAGAAGAAUACUGUGGUAAUUCUUGGAAUGGAUGGAAGGUAAGUGAGCACCAAGCUCAAAGAGGACAAACUUUAUGUAAUCCAAUAUAACUGCUUGUUACUUUGAAAUUUUCCUAUUGGCAUGCUCAAUUUUGACUUUUUAGAAAGUAUACACAUAUAUUCACCAGACUAUCAUCUGGGCUGUGGUUGGAGGGAAGAGUGGCUUCUACUGAACAACAAGCGUUUUUCAAGUUGCUUGUUGAUCAGGAGAGAGCUGCAGACCAUACAUCACAUGCAGUCAUCAGUCUUAGUAAGCUAUUCAUUGUAGAAACAUCUCCUUCUUUCUAGCAUAGGUUAAAACAUUGCAUCUGGAAGGUUGCAUGAGACAUUUUCUUUGACCACUAUAUUUUUAUUUCCCUGAUUCUUCUUUGCCUGCAACCCAUGUUUUUGCCUCUCUCUCUUCCCUCCAUCAGCCCAUGUUUCUUUUUCUUUUUUGUUUCACAUUCAUCAUAACGUUUUCUGUUAGAAAAGAAACUGGAAAUAAAAUUGUUGAUAUUCACUUGAAUUUGAAUGAUUGAAUGCAGCUUCUAUCGAUGUCAGUUCGAUGCAGUGAGCGGUGGAGAGAUGAUUCAGCUGGAGUACCACAACUUCCUUAAACCUGAAAAUACUAUGUAAUAGGGGCUUGGGUUACUUGUACGUUCUAUUUCUGGGCUAUGUAUAUAACAUUCCCUUUAUGGUUUUUAUCUUGCAUUUUACCCUUACCUAUGGAUGGCUACACAAAUCUAUUGUAAGUAUCUCAGUGUAGAUGGGUCACAAUCUAUAUAUACUGAUUAUAGUCAAUAUGAAAACAAAUUAAAGCAAACUUGUGUAGCAACUGUCUUCAUCCUAUUCAUAGUUUAAUUUCUUCUUUUCUGUGAGAUCUGAGUAGUGGCAUGUGAGAUAACAGCGUGUAAAGUUUCAUUCCAGCCUAGCACACUCUUCUUCAACUUCACCUUAUCUUCUCUUCUUCUUCAGUUUUGAUUUAUUUUUAAUUUAAUAAAAUAAUUGUUUAAUGUAUCAUUCAGGGUUCGGUUGUACAUUUUUUUUUUUAAAGAAAAAAAUGUUUAAGUGAGGGAAUACCAAUGGCAGAGUCCUAAAAUAGCUAGUGACAAGGCUCAGACUUCAAGUCCUCUGUGCUUCCCCAUGCCUUUUAUUUCCCUUUGUAUAUUGGAAAUAUAGCCCCCAAAAAAUCAAAUAUUAAAUGAGGAAGAUAAGAAAGAUGACUUAUCGUAGUAACACAAUGUGACAGAAGGAACUAGUAAAAUAUAAAUUUACUAACUAAAUAAACUAGAUGCCAUGUGUCAAAAAAAUAUUAUAGAUUUUGAAAUUGUUUAUCAGAGAUCUCAUUUCAAAAAAAAAAUUUUUUUUAAGUUAGUGAAUUUCUUCUUUUUUGCAUUUUUUUUUCUUUUUUUUUUUUUAUAAAAAAAAUCCCUCAUUUUUUGCCCUUGGAACUUCAAUCUUGCUUGGUUAGCUUAAUUCAAUGGUUUAGGGGUCAGAAAGAGGUGGUGACCAACCUGCAAAUACCACCCAACAAUGCAAUUAUGCAAGAAGAAGGGUCUGAAAGCCUGAAAGCUUGUUUGAUGAUAAACCCCAAAAAAGCUUUGGAAUACAAAGAGUGUUGGGGACAAGAAAUGAGAACGCAUCUCAAGAUGAAAUCUAAGGUCUCCAAAUUUGGUGCACUGAAAACUGUGAUUUUGACUGACUCACCUCUGACUUUUCUUUCUGCAGCAGCUUUGCCCCCAUCCACCCACCCACCCACAUGCCUACCUCCAUCGUCACACCCCACACACCCCCCCUCUAUACACCAUUUUCAUCACGCAAUCAUAGCUUCUUUUCCUUCCCUGAUAUCCCACAAUCAUCAGAUUCAUCACUCUACCUUGGACCACACACCCCUCCCAAGUAAUACAACUUUUUUUUCCCUUUUUACCCCUAUGAAUAGUCAAAGAAUUUAAUUGUAUGUCACAGACUCACAAUCAGCCAUACAGCUCCAAUGUUUCAGAGAGAAAGAAAAAAAAAAAAAAAAAAAGUACAUGGGUGGAGUGUAGCAUUGGGCCUCUUACAUAGACCAUGUGAUACUGAGUCAUAUUUACCUGACCAAAUGUAUAAAAUAAUUAACAAUCCAGAUUCACAUGGCAUAUAUAGAAAUGAAAAUGGCCCCAUUCAUAAUGUUCCUCUGAAAUUUCAUGAUACCAAUGGUGGGUCAAUAUCUGACCACUAAUUGGGGAUUUAAAACUAAUCUUCUGCCAUUAAUUUACAUCUCCAAUGAAUAAACAACUCUCAUUUUAUCAAAAAGUUUUAUUAUAUCAACUCGAAUAAUUAAAAUCCAUCAACUCUAAAUUAUUUUUUUUUAAAAGAAAAAUAAUUUGAGUGUAUGAAAUUAUUUUUUUAAAUUACAAAUUGAAUUGGUAAUUUACCAAUUCAUUUCCAUUAUAGUUAUGAAUAAAUCAUUUCGUAUACCACUAAAUAAACCCAUGAUCUAAGCCUUGAUUUAAAAAAAAAAAAUUCUAAAGUUGGUAGUGUAUACACAUUCAAAUAUAAUCUAUAUUUUUUUUUUACUUUGAUGCAAUUUAAGAAACAAUUUUUUUUUUCCAAAUAUCAAAACUAUUUUUAUUUUUCAUAAUCUAUAUUUUAAAUUAAUUAAGACUUUAAUUAUAAUUAUUUUUGAAAGUUGAUUCUUCUUUCUUUUUCGCAAAGCUCACAAGAGCAUAUAAUUUGAAAAAUAGAAAAAAUAAAAAAGAAGAAGAAAAACAAGGAAUGUUCUUAAUGAAUUUGUGUAGAAAAUUAUUUUAUAUUCAAUAAAAUUUUAAAAAUACUAAAAUAUUUAAACUUUGUUUCCAACUUCUAAAAAAAAUAAAAGAUGUGAUUACAACAUUGAAAAAUGCUUUCUCGAUUUCUAUUGAAAAAAUAGUAUGAAUUAAAUGGUGUCAAAUAUAUAUUUUUAUGUAUUCUUAUUUAAUCUAAGUCCAUAUUUUUUUGUUCAAUAUUAAGCUACAUUACCUUUUCAUUGUCCAAAAAUUAUUGCAAGCAAGAAUAGUAUUUACCUGUGCCUUUUCUUCUUCAUGAAUUCAAUGUGAACAGUAGAGAAGUCCUUUCUAAAGGAGCGGGGCAAGUUGAUUGAAACAAGAGAAUCGAGGUGGACAGCAACUACACGAAACACCACUGCAUAAGAAGCCAACAAACUAGUAUAUAAAGCCCACCAUACCCUCUUCAUUUGCAGUACCACCUCACCAUCCUCCAUUCAUAUUGCCCAUUUUCACCCACCUCUUUCUCUCUCUUUUUCUAUUUUUUCUCACCUACCCUCCUUCUCUUUCUCUCUGCCUCUCAGUUUCUCAGUCUUUCAAUGGCGCUCAAGCUCCAUGGAAUUCCCAUGUCCACAUGCACCACUCGUGUCCUCACCUGUCUCCAUGAGAAAGGCUUGGAUUUUGAGCUUGUCCCUGUUAAUCUCUUUGCAGGUGAACAUAAGCAGCCUCCUUUUCUUGCCAAGAAUGUGAGUCUCACUUCCCUCUUUCUUUCUAAUCAUCCCUCUUUAUUCUCUUUGAAGAUUUUACUUUUCUUUGGGGUUGUAUAAAUUAUGAUUUUCCUUGGUUUGGGUACAUUGUUUUUAGUGUGCAGUCUUGUCGAUUUGAUUUUGGUCUUGGUUUUGUUAUACAUAUAUGCAGCCCUUUGGACAGAUUCCAGUUCUGGAAGAUGGCGAUCUCACUCUUUUUGGUAAGUCCUCGGUUUUAAUCACUUUCCUCAUAAAAGCUUGAAAUUUGUUGUACUGUACUACCAUCAGGAUUGACAGUUCCUGAGAUUUAUUAGCUGCUUGCUUUUGAACAAAAUUUUGCUUUAAAAAAUUAAAGGAGUUUUUCUUACAAAAUCAUGCUAUUUAGUACAACAUACGAGCUGGGUCUAUGAUACUAUUAAGUAUACUAUUGCCCCAGCCUUACUGAAAAUCCCUAGUCGAUGAAGUUGGGUUACUGAAAUUAUGUAUAUGUACCAGAAUCUAGGGCAAUAACAGCAUAUUUGGCCGAGAAAUACAAGGAAACGGGGUGUGAUCUCUUGAGGCACAAUGACCUCAAAGAAGCUGCAUUGGUGAAGGUGUGGUUGGAGGUUGAAUCCCAACAAUAUCAUCCGGCAAUAUACCAGAUUGUGUACCAGUUCUUCGUGUUGCCUCUACAAGGCAAGACGGCCGAUCAGGCCAUUAUUGAUGUAAAUCUGGAGAAGUUGGGUAAGGUUCUGGAUGUGUAUGAGGCCAGGCUGGGCACCACAAAGUGCCUAGCAGGAGAUUUCUACAGCUUGGCUGAUCUUCACCACCUUUCUUACACUUACUAUUUCAUGAAGACGCCAUGGGCUUCCCUCAUAAACAGCCGUCCCAAUGUGAAGGCAUGGUGGGAGGACAUUUCCUCAAGGCCAGCUUUCAAGAAAGUGGCUGAAGGCAUGACUUUUGGUGAGAAGUGAUCGGUUUCUGAGCAGUGUGGCUCUAUGUUUUGGGGUAAUAUUAAUUGUAGUGGUUGCUGCCUCUUAAUUACGUGUAUUUAAGUGUGAGACCACGUAAUAAUUACUGAUUAUGUGUUAUGAUUUGCCCUAAAUUAAUCAGAAAUGUGGAAUUAUCUGGGGUUUCUCAUUGUGGUAAUUAAUCUGCUUGCAACCAGUUUUUGAAAGGGUUUGAUGCAUUUUUACUCCAUACUUUGCUUUAGCUAGGGUUAUGUUGGUGUCUCUAAGGCAUAAUGCUUCCAUUUUUGAGUCAUUGCAUACUCAGAUCAAAGUUUUCAAGACUUGUAGAAAAUGGGUUUUGGUAUUUUCAUGAAAGAGAAUGAAAGGGCAAAUUUCUUCACAAGGCAUGUAGUAAGGGUUUUCCCUUUCAAUCAGUCUUUUUCCUGAGAAACAAACAGAAUGUAUAUCAUGCCGUGUCAUCCACUGUGACAGUUUUCCUCUGAAGAGUUUUACUGCAGUACUUCCUAUUUAUUCCCAUUUUUACUUCCCAAACGAGGUAAACACGUACUGUACUGCAGCUCUGGUUAUUUUCAUCAUCCUUGCUUGUCCAAAGCAGCUUCACUCUUUGAACCUAUUUUUAUUGUUAUAUAUAUAUAUAUAUUAGGUCAAAUUAAUCUUCCAAUUUUCUAACUCUAAGCCCUUGCAAAGAGUUUUUGUAGUAUCAUAUGUAUCUACUAUCAGUCAAGCAGAAACUGGAUAAUGUUCUAUAUACGCUUCAAUAAUUAUGGAUCCAGCAAAGGAGAUCUUUUGUUAUGCUACGGGUCUCUACUAAAAUCUGAGGCUGGAACCCACUUCAAUUAUUCACUCAUUUUGUUCUCAUAGAACCUUCAGCCAUGUGACCCUCACCCUCCAACUAACUUUCAACCACAUCUACCACCUUUCUUUCCUUUUUAUUUUUAUUUUUUAGUUUUGACCUAAUUCCAUCUAACUCUCAAAAUGUAUUCUAAAUCAUGCAUCACAGUCUCAAAAUAUAUGUAGGCCCUUCUCUCUAGAUUCUUGAUUCUAUAGUCUUGUACAACCCAAAUUUCUUAGACUCUAGUCUGAAUAAGCUUGAUAGACAUGAUUGUGCUUAUUAUUUAAUAAUUUAAGUUUUUCUUAUAGUAAUUAAUAGUUUAAUAUGAUAUAAUAAAAUUUCUUAUCUUAAUUAAUUUGUAAAAUUAUCUAGAUGAGAUAAAUAGAUAGUCCUAAUUUUUAACUCCAAAAAUUGAUUUUUUUUCUCAAUUAUAAAUUUUCUUAAUCCAAUGCGAGAUUCAAAUAUCAAAAUAAUAGCUAGUUUCAUAAGACACUUGAUGUAUGUGGAAAACCAUCAACAAUCAUGGGUUUGCAAAACAAAGUAAUUACUAAAUCUAAAAGAAUAAGUACACAAUUUUUAUCAAAAUUUGAUACUAUCUUCUCCCAAGGGUCUUAUGUUGGCACAUAUUUACACUUGUUUUCAUGUUUGAGAUGCAACACCUUAUACCCUUUAGGAAACUCCUCAACUACUUGAUAACAUAUAAUCAACCAUUAUGAUUUGAUCUCAAAUAAGAGUUAAGCGAUUGAAAAUGUAUGUGUAGUGAGUUUGAAAUGAGAAUGAUAGAGAAAUUGAACUUUUUCAUUAGACUUUAAAUGAAGCCAUUAAGGAAGAGAUCCACUCCCAAGAUUAAUUCAAGAUGGGGAUAUAAAAAUGGUAUCUUACCAUAAUGACGUCAUCCAUCAAACUUUAUAUGAAGAAGAUAAAUCCAUUGGUUGAACUCUUUAUAGAGGAAUAAUUGACUCUUUAUCAUUAAACAAUAUAUGUUUGUUUUCAACUUGCAAAGAAUCUUAUUCUAGUGCUAUUAAAAAAAUUCUUAAAUAUUUAAAAAGAAUAAUUAAACUAUGUUUGUGAUAUCAUGCAUACUAACUUUGAUCUAAUUAACUAAUUAAAAGUGGAUUUUCCGUUUGUAAAAGUAAUGGAAAUGUAUUAGUGGUACUUAUAAUGUUUGUUUUCAAUCUUACAAAGAAUCUUAUUUUAGUGCUAUUAAAAAUAUUCUUAAAUAUUUAAAAAGAAUAAUUAAACCACGUUUGUGGUAUCAUGCAUACUAACUUUGAUCUAAUUAACUAAUUAAAAAUGGGUUGUUCCAUUUGUAAAAGUAAUGGAAACGUAUUAGUGGUACUUCUAACUUUCUAGGCCACUCACUAGGUUUUGACAUAGUGAUCGAACCUUUGAUCAAUUGAGUUGUCGUGUGCGAUAUAUUUCAUAAUGACUAAUUGAUGCAUGGUGGUUUAGACUUAGUCUUAAUUGGUUGAGGACUUGUUGAUCAGAUGUUAAUCGAUUAAGGUUCUUGCACCUUAAUGAUUACCUCCAAGUGUACUUUUAUUUAAUAGCAUGUUUCUUAGUCCAUCGCCUAAUCCACUAAUUCAGCUAAAAAUGUGCCUAAGGGCUAGUUUCACUCUAGAACUCUUAUUUAAAACUUUCCAACCUUGAGCAAUCAUUGUAGCAAUUUAUUGAAUGGUUCUCUAGAAUACUCUUAUUCCCAAACUCGCAAGUCUCAUUUAGUCUACCUUAAUCUUAGUUUAUUUAUAUAUUUGAUCCUGAAUUUUGCAAACUAGAAAGCUUACUUUAAGAAAUUCACUCUUGUAUUCAUGAAAGAGUAUACUGAAAUGUAAGGGAUCACUUGAGGGCAUUGCAAAGGCAUAUUGGAAGCUUAAAUAUAAGUGUAAAAAAAUUAAAAGCAAAAUCUUAGCACUAGUGAAUGGACCUCAAGCUUAGAUUGAUGAAAGAGAGAGUGGAUAUAGGAGUUAUAGAACCAUUAUAAGUACUUUAUUGCAUCACUCUAUCCCUAUCUCUAUUAAUUUACUUGCACUAUAUUAAUUUUUAUAAUUUGCUUUUUAAUUUUCUAAAUUUUGCAAAAGAACUAACACCGAAUUCUCCUCCCCUCUUGGGUGUCUUCCUCAAGUGAACUCAACUAAUUUGCUUUUCAAUUUUCUAAAAUCAUGAAUCAAUGUAUCAUAAAGCAAAUCCACUAAUUUAAAAAGAAUUAAUACACGGUUUUACCUUAACCAUAUGUUAUCUUCCCCUAAUAAUCUUACACCAAUCAACACAUCCAUUUGUUUUCACGUUUGCAAUGCAAUAUAUGCUCCUUAGUAAACUCCUUAGCAAUUUGAGAUAAUACAAUCAACCAUCAUAAUUUAUCCUUUAAUUAAAGUUAAGUUUUCAGGAAUAUUGGAAACACACAUGAGAAUAACGACAAUUAUUUUCGAGAGCAUGUUGUUUUUUCAAUAUAAGGAGAAAAUCUUACUAAGUCUAUCCAAAUACAUUAAUUGAAAAAAAUAUAGAAUUAGAAAAUCAUGAAAAAAAAAAAACAAAUGGGUCCAAGGUAAACCGAUGUACUCCAUUUUGUCAUGAAUAUUCACUAAAAAUUACUCAACCGUACACAAGCUUGACACACAACAUUUCCCCACUACGUAAUAGCCAUUAAAUCAAAUGAAAAAUAAAAUCUCCAACGUUAAAUUAAGUUGACACCGUGUGCAUCCCUGGUUUCAUAAUGCAGAGUGAGAUGAAACAGAAUCGAUGCACAAGUACUGGGAAAUAAAAUUACCCAUCACGAGUCUAGAAAAUGGGUUCUGAUAUUUUCACAUAAGACAAUGUUGGAGGAUUCUAGGAAAAGAAAGAGAAUGCGGGAAAGGGAAAAUUCUUCACAUGCCUACAGCAUUUACGGCAUAAAGAACGUUUUCUUUCUCAAAGCAUGUGAUCUUUUUCCUGAGAACCAAACAGAUGGCAAAAGCAAGUUCCUGCUUGUCCAAAAAAACCCUGUACUCAUUGGACUAACAAAGCCUGAAUUAAAUAUGGGCCAUUUCGUACCUUCACCAUGGCCCAUUUCUUGUGAUGUUCUUUUGAAUAAAUUUAAGAAAUUACUGUUAGAAAUCAAAUAGAUUGAAUAAAUAUUUUAAUUUAUAAAAAAAUCAUCUUAAAUAAAUAACAAAUAAUAAAUAGGAGAAGGAAAAGAGAAAGUACGUAUAUUUGCAAUGUUACAUUACCUCACCUUAUCGUUUUCCAAAACUUAUAGUAAGCAAGAAUUGGAUUUACUUCUGCCUUCUAUUCUUCAUCAAUACAAUAUGAACGGUAGAGAAGUCCCUUGUUCUAAAGGAGCCGGGCAAGUCGAUUGAAACAAGCGAAUCGAGGUGGCCUGCAACUACCCUAAACAACACUGCAUAAGAAGCCAACAAACUAGUAUAUAACGCCCACCAUACCCUCUUCAUUUUCAGUACCACCUCACCAUCCUCCAUUCAUAUCGCCCAUUUUCACCCACCUCUUUCUCUCUCUCUCUCUCUCUCUCACUCUCUCAGUUUCUCAGUCUUUCAAUGGCGCUCAAGCUCCAUGGAAUUCCCAUGUCCACUUGCACCACUCGUGUCCUCACCUGUCUCCAUGAGAAAGGCUUGGAUUUUGAGCUUGUCCCUGUUAAUCUCUUUGCAGGUGAACAUAAGCAGCCUCCUUUUCUUGCCAAGAAUGUGAGUCUCACUUUCUUCUUUCUUUCUAAUCAUCUCUCUUUCUUCUCUCUGUAGAUUUUGCUUUCUUUGGGGUUGUAUAAAUUAUGAUUUUCCUUGGUUUGGGUACAUUGUUUUUAAUGUACAGUCUCGUCGAUUUGAUUUUGGUCUUGGUUUUGUUAUACAUAUAUGCAGCCC